rnacentral:rRNA from 1 species
UACGUAGGGGCAAGGCGUUGUCCGGAAUCAUUGGGCGUAAAGCGCGCGUAGGCGGCCCGGUAAGUCCGCUGUAAAAGUCCCAGGGCUCAACCCGUGGAAAGCCGGUGGAUACUGUCGGGCUAGAGUCCGGAAGAGGCGAGUGGAAUUCCUGGUGUAGCGGUGGAAUGCGCAGAUAUCAGGAGGAACACCGAUGGCGAAGGCAGCUCGCUGGGACGGUACUGACGCUGAGGCGCGAAAGCGUGGGGAGCGAACAGG